AAGGAUCGUUACUUGCAAAAACAUUUUAGUAAAACAUUGUUUAUAAAAUUAUUAACCGAGUUUACCAAUCUCGUGAAGCUCAUUUUAAUUAGCCUUUACUUUUUUCUUUUUUUUUUCUUUAUAAAAGUAAAUUACCGUUUUUUGAUGAUUGAUUUUGUCUCUGCUAAGAAAAAUAUGCUUUAUAGUUCGUGCACAAAAUGGUCUCGCUGACGUAUCUUCGUCGUUCGAAUGUUUAUUGUGAAACCAAUAACGUUUCUGUGUCGUUUGGCAAAUUGCACACCAAACAAAACGUCCAGCCGUCGUUUUCGGGUAGAUUGUUUUGGCCUGAACCUCAAUUGCGUCGUCCCGGAGUACAAAAUUACCGAAGAUUAAUUAAAAUAAGGAUUUCUGUCUCUUCGUGAUUGCAGAAUCUUGGUUACCCGGUCAAUGAAAUUUUGGAAAAAUGUUUUUCUGAUUGCUAUUACCCACACGAUGCAUAUAAAUAUAUCACGAUAUUGACGUACAUGUACAUGUAUGUGCAAUUUUAAAAAGUCACUUCGAAGUUCGAGGAUCUCUUUUUCGCAAGGGAUUUCUGGAAGGGUCGAACUAAACGCGUAUUUGCUCGUCAACUCUUGCAAAUGAUUCGUAGUACUUUAAAACACAAAUAGUUCUUAUAGAUCAUCCGUGUAAGUUAAGGCCAUAGCAUUUUUGGGGAAGAAAUCGGUAGUUGCCGAUCGCCGUCGUGUCGCGCAUCAUACACCCACAAAACGUAUUUGAGUGGGGAAACCCAAUGAUGUCACAGCGAUGAGUCAUCGAUGGACGACAAACAUGAUGACCAGUCCACUAGUCCAGACUUGUCCAGUCUUCCACUCCGAAUACGCGUGCGGUGUUCUCGAAUGUUCCCGAGCACAAUCCCAGUGACGUCACAGCGAUGAGUCAUCGAUGGACGACAAACAAGAAGACCAGUCUGGACUUGUCCAAUCGUCCAGUCCGAAUUCGUGGUGUUUUUACAAUCUCUAUGUGCACAGUCGUUCGGCGGUGAGAACAUUCAACGUCAGCUGAACGUUUUGGGUGCAUCGACAAAACGACAAGGUGACCGCAGUAUACGUCCGCGUUUUUAUCUCAUCCAGUCCCGAAUCUCCUGAACGGUCGCACAAAAUUCAAGGGUCCACCUCUCAUCAGCAUGUCCACCACUGUGAUCAAAGGAAGAAGCGAAGUUAUAGUGCACACUCAAGACAUUUAGGUUCCAUAUCAAGUCAUUCAAGAAUCGCAUUGAAAUUUAUUUGUCAUUGUUAUAUAUCUUAAAUUUUAAUCGAAUUUAUUUCGUUCUUUUGUAAAAGAAUUGAGUUGAGUUACAUGUACUGGUGCAUAGGCCUUUGAGAUAAACCACGCCAACGUAAAAUCGUUGUGUAUCUCGCUAAAGAAAAA